rnacentral:rRNA from 1 species
UACGAACUGUGCGAACGUUAUUCGGAAUCACUGGGCUUACAGGGUGCGUAGGCGGCUUGUUAAGUAGGGCUGUGAAAGCCCCCGGCUCAACCGGGGAAUUGCGCCCUAAACUGGCGAGCUGGAGUGAGAUAGGGGUGUGUGGAACUUCCGGUGGAGCGGUGAAAUGUGUUGAUAUCGGAAGGAACGCCGGUGGCGAAAGCGACACACUGGAUCUUGUUUGACGCUGAGGCACGAAAGCCAGGGGAGCGAACGGG